CUAAAAUAGUAAAUAAAUAUUUAUUGAAACUUAAAUAAUUUGGCGGUAUUUUAGUUCAUUUAGAGGAAUCUGUUUAAUAAUUGAUAUUCCACGAAUAAAUUUACUUAAUUUAUAAUUUUGUAUAUCGUUGUUAUAAAAAUAUUUUUUAAUAAAAUUAAUAUUUAAAAAUUAAUAAGAUAAAUUAAAUCAGCUCAAGAUGCAGAUUAUAAUUAAGAAUAUAAUGGAUCACAAUAAAUUUAUUUAAAUGAAUUUUAAUUUGUAAUAUUUAAUUGAAGGUGGAUUUAAAUGUAAUUUUAUUUAAUUUAAUA
rnacentral:rRNA from 1 species